rnacentral:rRNA from 1 species
UGGGGAAUAAUGCACAAUGGGCGCAAGCCUGAUGCAGCCAUGCCGCGUGUGUGAAGAAGGCCUUCGGGUUGUAAAGCACUUUCAGCGAGGAGGAAGGGUAGUGUGUUAAUAGCACAUUGCAUUGACGUUACUCGCAGAAGAAGCACCGGCUAACUCCGUGCCAGCAGCCGCGGUAAUACGGAGGGUGCAAGCGUUAAUCGGAAUUACUGGGCGUAAAGCGCACGCAGGCGGUUUGUUAAGUCAGAUGUGAAAUCCCCGCGCUUAACGUGGGAACUGCAUUUGAAACUGGCAAGCUAGAGUCUUGUAGAGGGGGGUAGAAUUCCAGGUGUAGCGGUGAAAUGCGUAGAGAUCUGGAGGAAUACCGGUGGCGAAGGCGGCCCCCUGGACAAAGACUGACGCUCAGGUGCGAAAGCGUGGGGAGCAAACA